rnacentral:rRNA from 1 species
CAUACAAUAAGCGGAGGAAAAGAAACCAACAGGGAUUGCCCCAGUAACGGCGAGUGAAGCGGCAACAGCUCAAAUUUGAAAUCUGGCCCUCGGGUCCGAGUUGUAAUUUGUAGAGGAUGCUUUUGGCGAGGUGCCUUCCGAGUUCCCUGGAACGGGACGCCAUAGAGGGUGAGAGCCCCGUCUGGUCGGACACCGAGCCUCUGUAAAGCUCCUUCGACGAGUCGAGUAGUUUGGGAAUGCUGCUCAAAAUGGGAGGUAUAUGUCUUCUAAAGCUAAAUAUUGGCCAGAGACCGAUAGCGCACAAGUAGAGUGAUCGAAAGAUGAAAAGCACUUUGAAAAGAGGGUUAAAAAGUACGUGAAAUUGUUGAAAGGGAAGCGCCUAUGACCAGACUUGAGCCCGGUGAAUCAUCCAGCGUUCUCGCUGGUGCACUUUGCCGGGCCCAGGCCAGCAUCAGUUUGGCGCGGGGGAUAAAGGUGACGGGAAUGUGGCUCCCUCGGGAGUGUUAUAGCCCGCUACGUAAUACCCUGCGCCGGACUGAGGUACGCGCAUUGCAAGGAUGCUGGCGUAAUGGUCAUCAGCGACCCGUCUUGAAACACGGACCAAGGAGUCGUCUUCGUAUGCGAGUGUUCGGGUGUCAAACCCCUACGCGUAAUGAAAGUGAACGCAGGUGAGAGCUUCGGCGCAUCAUCGACCGAUCCUGAUGUUCUCGGAUGGAUUUGAGUAAGAGCAUACGGGGCCGGACCCGAAAGAAGGUGAACUAUGCCUGUAUAGGGUGAAGCCAGAGGAAACUCUGGUGGAGGCUCGCAGCGGUUCUGACGUGCGAAUCGAUCGUCAAAUAUGGGCAUGGGGGCGAAAGACUAAUCGAACCUUCUAGUAGCUGGUUCCGCG